rnacentral:rRNA from 1 species
CCUACGGGAGGCAGCAGUGAGGAAUAUUGGUCAAUGGUCGGGAGACUGAACCAGCCAAGCCGCGUGAGGGAUGAAGGUACAGAGUAUCGUAAACCUCUUUUGUCAGGGAACAAAGGCGGGGACGCGUCCCCGGAUGAGUGUACCUGAAGAAAAAGCAUCGGCUAACUCCGUGCCAGCAGCCGCGGUAAUACGGAGGAUGCGAGCGUUAUCCGGAUUUAUUGGGUUUAAAGGGUGCGCAGGCGGUCUGUUAAGUCAGCGGUAAAAGCCCGGGGCUCAACCCCGGCACGCCGUUGAAACUGGCAGUCUCGAGUUGGAGAGAGGUAUGCGGAAUGCGCGGUGUAGCGGUGAAAUGCAUAGAGAUCGCGCAGAACUCCGAUUGCGAAGGCAGCAUGCCGGCUCCACACUGACGCUGAGGCACGAAAGCGUGGGUAUCGAACAGGAUUAGAUACCCCAGUAGUC